UACAGUGUUAGAAUCUAUCGAUACCACUCCUACAGUGAUAGAGUAUGACGCUACAACUACUACAGUCGUAAAUCCUACAGCGUUAGAAUCUACCGGUACAACUCUUGCAGUGCAUGCUAGAGGCUACAACGCUUCCUCAUUGAUCACUUUUGAUAGGUCCCGUUGAUUGUACACUGGUUCCAUGCCCAAAAGGCCAGAUCUGCACAAAGAAGGUGUUUCCGUGCCUUAUUCCGCCGUGUCCAGAGCAGCACAAAUGUGUUUUACCCGAUCCGUGUGAUGAAGUACAAUGUCCAAUUGAAACGUCGUGCGUAGUCGAUAAUGGUCGUAUAGAAUGUGUGAGACGUGGCACGUGUCCCAAAUUUCCCGGUCUCAUCACGACGUGCGAAGUCCGUUCCGGACACUGUCUGAGCGACAUCGAGUGCCAGACCGGCGAGAAGUGCUGCAUUAAAGGAUGCGGUCGGGAGUGUGUUUCAGUUGUCACAGUAAAUCCUUGUGCUUUUACUCUGUGUCCUAAAGGGACCGUUUGCGUUGAAGAAAAUGAUGAAGGUGUAUGCAAAGACACAUACUGAGUGUUGAAUGUGCUGACAUAUUGUGACAUUGAUUGAUGAUGUCAAUAAUGCAUCAUCGAUUUACUUGCAAUAAUUAUACCAAUUUUGUCUGAAUGUUUAGAGGCGUAUCACAGGAACAGAUAUGUACUAGUUAUGCGUAGAGUGUGAUCAAUAAUUUGCUGUCGACGUGGACGUGCAUGGCUUCUAAUCAAA